CUCACAAUGGGUUCAGAGUUUGAUAAAAGUUUACAUCCCAUAUAUGAAAAUAAUCAUCUAUGAUCUUUUUGAGAAUUUCAUUGCUCACCCUGUGAUAUGACCAUAAAAUCAUCCUGUUAGAAACACACCUCACAGCCUUAUUAGCAUAAUCGGAACCUUUCUGAUUUUUAUAUUCACGAAAGAAUGAAAAAACCCGAGAAAGUCAAAACUUCGUAUAUCUCGGGAUUUUAACGAGACCAGUCUAACACUCGUGAAAAUCGAGAGAGGAGUUCAAAUGGAAAAAGUAAGUAAAAGUUUUUGUUUCUUAUAUUGGCAAGCUUUUAAAUUAUUUAAAGUUGCAGAACAAUUGUUUAUUAAUGUGAAGUCGAAGUUUGGGGUGAAUCGCCUUAUCUCGUUACAUUUUGUUCAGCAUGAAACAGUCUGACCAGCAAUCCUCGAUUUUGUCAACAAUCUAAAACGUGCUAAGGAGUAGUCAUUCGUCGAUUUACCUGCGGUUUCCAGAUGAUCUGAAGAUCGGGAUUAUAGAAAAUAUUGUCAAUUUGAUAUUGCUAAUGACCCAUUCAUGUCUGCUGAAGCCCAGAAGUUUCCAGACCAUGACAUUAAUGAAUAUUUCUUGAAUGGAAUGCAUGAGGAUUAGCAUGGAACCUUAAUCUGCCUUUUUAUCAACUCACACCAUCUUUUCAAGAUUUAUGGAGCCAACCACAGAAGAAUUUGUUCUAUACACAUCAUUCAUAACAUUCUUAUUUAUGUUGCAUAACUUUAAAUGUUACUGGAUGAAUUGUGUUCACAUAAUGAAUACCAGCAAACUUUUUAUCGAGUGCACUUAAUUUGUAUUUUUCCUACCCAUCCAUCUAACAUAUGUUUUUAUGUAACAUAUUCAUAUACAUGUAACAUUUUUGGAAACAGCUAUUUUUUUUUAAAUUGGAAUUUAGCCUUACCGGUACUAUUUUAAACAAGUUUUUUUUAAAGCGACUUGAACACGAUUUUAGAUCAAAAUUUUGUUUUCAAUUUUUUUAUGCAUAAAAUGAUUUACUUGCACAUUUUGAAUAAUUGACCAUAAUUUGAAUGUUAAAAGUCAGGUUAUAAGAGA